rnacentral:lncRNA from 8 species
AUGGUCCUUGCUGCUCGUCUCGAGCUCGACAGCAUAAUCAGUCCCAGUGACCGGCUGCAUUCCAAAGAAGUUUACCUGACCUUGAGAUUGUGGGGGAGAUACCUGCUAUCACAAGGGAACAGGUGUAAUAGCAGGACCAGUUUGGCGACUCGUUCUUUAACUGAACAGAAGCAGACAGGUGAACGCCUGGAGUGUCUAUCUCCCCAUCUUAUCUCUUGGUGCCUAUGUCAAUUUAAGUACACAAUCUCUGAGCCCUCCUCAUUGGUCAGCAGUAAGGAGACCUUGAUGUACUGGAAUUUGCCGCAUCAAAGGUGAACUUGACCUAGCUCUUCUACCGCCGGUGAUGUUAUUAACCUAGAGCAACCUCUUUGCCGUCAAAGAGUAAGCAGCUAGGGUAUCUUUUAAUAACCUUGUUUUUUUUAUGCAUUUGAUAUCUACGGGCCAGUUGGUGGAUUGUGAUAAUUCUUCUAACUAAUCCCUUGGGGUAAAUCUGUCACCAUGUUUCGGGAUUUGAUUAGAAACAACAAUCCUGGGGGGGUAACAGAAGACAGUUUGAUUCCCUGGUAGUAUCACAGCACAUAUCAUGCUAAUCAACUGGAACUAGGAUUUAUGUCUGUAAUUGAUCAUUUGUUGCUUAAACAGGAAAAACAGUAUUGAGGUACAUCAUUUUUUUCUUACUUCUCAUUUUAAAGUCUACAGUAUAUGGGUGUGAUCUUAUGUUGCACAACCUCUGAAAGCAUAUGAAACUAUGAAAUUAAUUAUAGGCCUAAUUCUCCCUAUGCUUUUAUUUUGCACCUGGAUCUCUUGGAAUGAAUCGAUGGAUGUGCCUCUCAACUGUGAUUAUGUUCAUCUUCUGCUGGUGAGUUGGAUGUUACUUUUACUUUGAUGUGUGAAGAAAGACAGACUUUUGUUUUACAUUUGUGCUUUAAUCCUAUUUGAUAUUUACCUUUCAAAACCUGACAAAAUACAUAUUUAAAAUGUGAUUCCUCAGUCUAUUUUAUGUAUUAUUUGGUUGGCUGAAAUGAAGAUGUUGGUUUUGGUUUCAUCAUGGUUUGAUGCUUAAGAUGUAGGCCUUUUGACAUAUGACCCUAUCACAUGACAGUGUUGUGAGUGUCCCUUUAGACCUAUGUAGCACAGUCCUGUUAUUUGGUACAACACAGUGGCAAUGUACUAGUAAGUAACUUAAUGUACCUUGUGCAGUAAGUACUAGCAUGUCAAGGUUAUAAACAAAGACAAGGCCAUCGAUCCAUUUCGCUACAAACAUACAAUAAGAGGCAAUCAAUGCAUUAAUAAUGAACGCUCAACCUCCUAGACUUUAAUGGUAUCUAUUGAUCCUCAGUGCCCACAACCGAAUAUCUGCUCUGUAAUGGAUAUUUGAUGGAAAGCGAAAGUGCUAAUGGUUGUUUUGUGUGUGCUGCUGCACUACCCUGCAGCAAGGUGGUCCAUUCUUUAUUUGUUUUGCCAAGUAAAGCUGUUGAUAUACAAUACCAGUCAAAAGUUUGGACACACCUCCUCAUUCAAGGGUUUUUCUUUAUUUGUACUAUUUUCUACAUUGUAGAAUAGUAGUGAAGACAUCAGAAAUAUGAAAUAACACAUAUGGAAUCAUGUAGUAACCAAAAAAAGUGUUCAACAAAUCAAAAUAUAUUUUAUAUUUGAGAUUCUUCAAAUAGCCACCCUUUGCCUUAAUGACAGCUUUGCACACUCUUGGCAUUCUCUCAACCAGCUUCACGAGGAAUGCUUUUCCAACAGUCUUGAAGGGGUUCCCACAUAUGCUGAGCACUUGUUUGCUGCUUUUCCUUCACUCUGCAGUCCAACUCAUCCCAAACCAUCUCAAUUGCAUUGAGGUUGAGUGAUUGUGGAGGCCAGGUCAUCUGAUGCAGCACUCCAUCACUCUCCUUGGUCAAAUAGCCCUUACACAGCCUGGAGGUGUGUAUUGGAUCAUUGUCCUGUUGAAAAACAAAUGAUAGUCCUACUAAGCGCAAACCAGAUGGGAUGGUAUAUUGCUGCAGAAUGCUGUGGUAGCCAUGCUGGUUAAGUGUGCCUUGAAUUCUAAAUAAAUCACAGACAGUGUCACCAGCAAAGCACCAUCGUUGAUGUUGAGAUGUGUCUGUUACUUGAACUCUGUGAAGCAGUUAUUUGGGCUGCAAUCUGAGGUGCAGUUAAUUGUCGAUUUCUGAGGCUGGUAACUAAUGAACUUAUCCUCUGCAUCAGAGGUAACACUGGGCCUUCCUUUCCUGUGGCGGUCCUCAUGAGAGCCAGUUUUAUCAUAGCGCUUGAUGGUUUUUGCGACUGCAAUUGAAGAAACUUUAAAAGUUCUCGAAAUAUUCCGGAUUGACUGACCUUCAUGUCUUAAAGUAAUAAUGGACUGUCAUUUCUCUUUGCUUAUUUGAGAUGUUCUUGUCAUAAUAUGGGCUUGGUAUUGUACUAAAUA